rnacentral:rRNA from 1 species
UGCGUAGGUGGUUAUGUGUGUCGGAUGUGAAAGCCCAGGGCUCAACCCUGGAAGUGCAUCCGAAACUGCAAAACUAGAGUACAGGAGGGGAGAGCGGAAUUCUUGGUGUAGCGGUGAAAUGCGUUGAUAUCAAGAAGAACAUCGGAGGCGAAGGCGGCUCUCUGGAAUGUAACUGACACUGAGGCACGAAAGUUGGGGGAGCGAAGA